rnacentral:rRNA from 1 species
UACGUAGGGUGCGAGCGUUGUUCGGAUUUACUGGGCGUAAAGGGCGCGUAGGCGGCCACCGCAAGUCAGUUGUGAAAUCUCUGGGCUUAACCCAGAAAGGUCAACUGAUACUGCGGGGCUAGAGUGCAGAAGGGGCAACUGGAAUUCUCGGUGUAGCGGUGAAAUGCGUAGAUAUCGAGAGGAACACCUGCGGCGAAGGCGGGUUGCUGGGCUGACACUGACGCUGAAGCGCGAAAGCUAGGGGAGCAAAUGGG